GCAGAGUAGGAACAGCGCGUUAAGUGCGGUGGGACGGGAUGUUGCUCACCGACGAAACGCCGGGCGACCGGCGUGCGGUGCUGUCUCCGCGUCCGCUGC
rnacentral:ncRNA from 1 species